UACGUAGGCAGCGAGCGUUGUUCGGAGUUACUGGGCGUAAAGGGUGUGUAGGCGGUUGUUUAAGUUUGGUGUGAAAUCUCCCGGCUCAACCGGGAGGGUGCGCCGAAUACUGAAUGACUAGAGUGUGGGAGAGGAAAGUGGAAUUCCUGGUGUAGCGGUGAAAUGCGUAGAUAUCAGGAGGAACACCGGUGGUGUAGACGGCUUUCUGGACCAUAACUGACGCUGAGACACGAAAGCGUGGGUAGCAAACAGG
rnacentral:rRNA from 1 species